rnacentral:lncRNA from 1 species
CGGGAGACUAAGGCAGGAGAAUAGCUUGAACCUGGGAGGCAGAGUGAGGCAAGAUCAUGCCAUUGCACUCCAGCCUGGGCAACAAGAGCAAAAUUCUGUCUCAAAAAAAAAGCGGGGGGUAUUUUUUAGUGCAGAGCUCCCCAAAGCCUCUAACAUACUUCCAAAUAGAAUGACUUAAGCAACUCAGAAGAAAAGUUUUUCAGAAAGACAAAAGCAUUUAUUUGCAAUAGAGGCAAGAGGGCAACGGGUUUUCCCAUGCUCCUGCUCAAUCCCUCUCCCAGAUGAACAGAUGAUGUCUUGCCAUCCUUAAACUUCAUUGCAAAGAAACUGGUUUCAUCCACAGCUCCCUUCACAUUCCCACCCAAUCCCUUAGCUUCCAUUUUGGACCAUGGGACUUGACUCAUAGACUGGCUAUCAACCUGUAACACAGCCAGGUAUAAAAGGAUGACCUGAGCUUGGGCAACGCAGUGAGACUCUGUCUCUGCAAAAAAAAAUUUUAAAAAUUAGCCAGGUGUGGUGGUGCAUGCCUGUAAUCUCAGCUACUCAGGAGGAUGAGGUGGGAGGAUCACUUGAAUUCGGGAGGUCAAGGCUGCAAUGAGCUGUCAUUGCACCGCUGCAUUCCAGCCUGGAUGAUGGGGAGAGACCCUGCAAAAGAAAAGAAAAAAAAAAAAAGGAUGACCUGGACCAAUCAACUAUAUGAUCACUCUUGGAAGUAGCCAGUUGAGCCAGUUGGUAGAGGUGGACAAAUUUGAAAAGGGUGGAAUCAGACCCAUGGUGAGGCAAAGCCACAUGAGAGCAAAAUUAUGAGGGAAGUGAACGCUGAGCAGGCCGUGAAAGCCCAGAGUAGAAACAGAAGCAGAAUGUUCUGUUCCAGAAUGGAACAGAAGCACAGAGCACUGCAGAGAUGCCCCGAGAGCUCUUAGAAAUGGAAGUUGAUGUGGUGUGGAUGCGUGUCCCCUCCAAAUCUCAUGCUGAAACGUGAUCCCCAACGUUGGAGGUAGCCAUGGUGGCAAAUAUUGGAUCAUGGGGGCAGAUUUCUCAAGGAUGACUUAGCACCGUCCCCCUGGUGAAUGACUUGGGAUAUAAAUAAACUAAAUAUAUCCUGUUUGAAUAAUAAGUGGAAGACAGCUUGAUGAAUUGGACAAGGAAGCCCUUGGAACAGGAUGUAAAAGCAGCACUUUCCAUCCAGCCUGACAUCCUGCUUCCAGAUGCAGAAGGCUGAGCAGGCCACCAGGAUCACAUUUAAAUGGCUGUGGCCAUGAUGUUCCAAUUUGAAACCUGGACUCCACCAACUUCCAUACUCAUCCCUUGCUCUCAGCCCUCUCCCUCCCCUGUCCAGGUCCUCAGGAUGAUCUGAGAAAUAUGUUACACUUUUCUUCCUCGCUAGAUGUCAACACGUUGGAAGGCAGGGACCUUGCCAUAUUAAUCCUUAGGGCCUUGGGUUCUGCUGUAGUAAAGACUCAAAAAAUGUUGGGUAAAAUUAAUUUUAAAAACAACUGGUGGCCGGGUGCGGUGGCUCACGCCUAUGAUCCCAGCACUUUGGGAGGCCAAGGCGGGUGGAUCACCUGAGGUCAGGAGUUCGAGACCAGCCUGGGCAACAUGGUGAAACCCUGUCUUUACUAAAAAUACAAAAAUUAGCCUGGCGUGGUGGCAGCGCCUGUAGUCCCAGCUACUUGGGAGGCUAAGACAGGAGAAUUGCUUGAACUUGGGA